GGAGAUGUGGCAGAGUGGUUGAAUGCACCGGUUUCGAAAACCGGCAUACUCACAAGGUAUCGGAGGUUCAAAUCCUCCCAUCUCCG
rnacentral:tRNA from 1 species